rnacentral:rRNA from 3 species
GGUCAAGCGAACAAGUGCAUGUGGUGGAUGCCUUGGCGAUCACAGGCGAUGAAGGACGCGGUAGCCUGCGAAAAGCGACGGGGAGCUGGCAAACGAGCUUCGAUCCGUCGAUAUCCGAAUGGGGAAACCCGGCCCUUCUGGGUCAUCCUGAGCUGAAUACAUAGGCUCAGUGAAGCGAACGCGGUGAACUGAAACAUCUAAGUAACCGCAGGAAAAGAAAUCAACCGAGAUUCCCAAAGUAGUGGCGAGCGAAAUGGGAUCAGCCUGUACUCUUUAUCACGACCGUUAGCCGAACACUCUGGAAAGUGUGGCCAUAGCAGGUGAUAGCCCUGUAGGCGAAAGCGGAUGUGUGGAACUAGGUGUACGACAAGUAGGGCGGGACACGUGAAAUCCUGUCUGAAGAUGGGGGGACCAUCCUCCAAGGCUAAAUACUCGUGAUCGACCGAUAGUGAACCAGUACCGUGAGGGAAAGGCGAAAAGAACCCCGGGAGGGGAGUGAAAUAGAUCCUGAAACCGCAUGCAUACAAACAGUCGGAGCCUCGCAAGGGGUGACGGCGUACCUUUUGUAUAAUGGGUCAGCGACUUACGUUCAGUAGCAAGCUUAACUGAUUAAGGCAGGCGUAGCGAAAGCGAGUCCGAAUAGGGCGUUCAGUUGCUGGGCGUAGACCCGAAACCAAGUGAUCUAUCCAUGGCCAGGUUGAAGGUGCGGUAACACGUACUGGAGGACCGAACCCAC